GGGCGAAUGGUCUAGAGGUAUGAUAUUCGCUUUGCAUUGUCCAGUGUGCUGUAAGAAAAUUACGCCAUGUAAUAUGUAUGCGAAGGGUCCGGGGUUCAAUUCCCCGUUCGUCCA